rnacentral:rRNA from 1 species
UACGUAGGGGGCUAGCGUUGUCCGGAUUUAUUGGGCGUAAAGAGCGUGUAGGCGGCCAGGUAGGUCUGCUGUGAAAACUCGAGGCUCAACCUCGAGACGUCGGCGGAAACCAUCUGGCUAGAGUCCGGAAGAGGAGAGUGGAAUUCCUGGUGUAGCGGUGAAAUGCGUAGAUAUCUGGAGGAACACCGGUGGCGAAGGCGGCAUCCUGGACCGAUAUUGACGCUGAUGCGCGAAAGCCAGGGGAGCAAACGGG